ACCCCUGCUCCUCCCUCCUCCAGGAGGACGCGCCGCCGCCCAUGUUCUUCCUUCCUCCUGUCGGCAUGCGCGCCGCCACCCCUCUGGCCGUCGCUGGCAUCCCGUUCGAGCCCGUGGAUCCGAGGAAGAUGGAGACGAUGGAUGACGGGAAGGAGCAGCGGCUGCCUCAUGGAAGCAGAUCGUCGACAAAGACCAUCAUCGAGGCUGCUACUGGUAUGUGUUGUGCAAUCUUCAGAGAUGAAAAAAUAUAGUACAGAGAGGGGGGAGGAUUGCAAUUCAGACAGAUUGGCUGGAGUUCAGAAGAAGGAUUCACAUCAGUGCAAAUCUCUGGUGGGAGUAAGUUCAGAGGGGGGAAAUGCAUCUGGCCCAACCGCCUCGACCUCAACAAGCCCCGUCAAGAUUCGGCACCGUGGGCUGCACCCCCUCUCUUCCUUCGCAACUAGGAGUUGUGGAGGAGCAUUGAUUGGUUGUCUACUCGGAAAGAAAAGAAGAUGAAGUACGUGACCAUCGUAGCUACUGUUGAAGAGACGUUGUGCGGCUGGUUGUGGAUGAGAAUUGUCUAGCCGGCAAUGGAUUUCCAGCAAGGGCGGCAGAGAAAAAUCCAUGACGAGAUGAACACCACCACGACAGCAUCAUGGAUGUGAUCGAGAAAUAGCAUUGGCUGCAACGACGGAGUAUGUUUUACAUGUUUUUUUGUUGAUGAAAAAGGUAUGCGUUUCAUCUUAACGUACACUCGACGAAAAAUGCUAUUUUGCCAAAGAACGUCUUGUCAGCUAUGGUAUUUAAGCUCUGAGUUACUAACUCAAUGAGGUGUAUUAUAAGUUUGGGGCUACUAUUUUUUUCCAUAUACAUAAAUGUAUUUGACACCUCUGAGCAUCUAGAAAUCUUGCAAUUGGUAGAUAGCAUUUGCCUUCCGAAAAUUUUCCUUGAGACCAUGAGAGUCUGAAGAAAAAUUGAUUAAUUAUUAAUGUUGUUAUAUUUAUGCAAGUUGAAUGCUAUUAAAAAUUUCUUAUUUCCCUUAUCGGGAAUGAAUUGUGAUUUAUACUAGCUGUUAGACAAAUAUUGGAACUUUUUUACACAAUGUGCAUGAUAGUUCUUUUUAGAAUACGUAAAGAAGUUUGUGUCCUGAUGAACUCACAGAAAAAGAGAUUUGAAAUUAUGUCCAAGCCUAAAGAAGGGCCACAUCUAAAAUAGAACACCACACCCCUUUUUAAAAUGACCGACGGUUGAUGUUGUUGCAUGUCGUGGCGGGGACGGCCGUGUAGCAGCCGUAUGCGCACUGCUUGUGCUGGGCGCCGAUCUGGAGGCCCCUGAUCGGAAGGGACGCCACUGGAGCUGCUGCGGGAGAUGGUAGUGAAUACUGAUGUGGACAUUCAAGCUGCAAUAGUGGAGCUGCAUGUGCUGCUAUAGAUUGGUCCUUGCAGCUUAUGAAGGCAUCAACUAUUGGCGGCACAAAAUUGUGGAGCUUAAGAUUCCCCACCCUUAUUUUUGAAGGAAAGCUAAAGUUCGGGGUGCUAAUCUCCGAGGAUUUUCUCAAUGGUGAACAUUUUUCUUUUGUUUCUCUUGUUCUAAUUUAUACCUCAAGAUGCAAUAGUUCUUAUUGUACUGCUUGGAUUGCUCUCUCAUUGUAAUCAAUACUGUUAAUUAAUAUAUAAUAAUCAUAUAUUUUUCAUGUAGGAGGGUUUAUUUAACACUAACAAGCCUUUCAAGUUUUUAUAUGGUAAUAUGGUGAUAGGUUGGAAUGUUUGAUCACCCAGGAAUGUGGAUUACUAUCGCAGGAUAUUUUUCCUCUUGAUGGUGCUUCCACUGAAUGUUAUGCACCCCUGUACAACCAUAUAUCUAAGUUUGCCUGUUCAUUGAGAAGAUUAUAUUGACUAUUCAAUUUAGGGUUCAACCUUUGAAUAACACAGUUCUGGCUCAGUAGUUUGAGAUUCUAUUGUGCAACUGGAUCUUGAUAGACAUCUAGACCUAUAGCUGCGUUUUAUUUUCGUUAUCCCUUUUAGAAACUUACACGCUAACUUGGUGGAUUAAACUGGUGUUCUAAUUAAAUGAUAAAUGAGUAUAAAGAUUUUCUUUUUUUACUGUUAUAUGACAAUGAAUGAACAUGUGAUCGCUAUCCAGAUUAGUCAGGCCAUCUUGCAAAUAACUAUGGGAUACAUUAUUGAUAUUUUCUUAGGAUGGCCAAAUAGACAUGCAUUCUUUGCUAGGUUAAGUUUUGUUAUUCUUUGUACUUAUUUGCUUAAUCUUUGUAGUGAAAUAGUGCAAGAUGAGGAACUGGCUCAACUUCAGAGUUUCAGUUAAGUGCACAGUUAAAGAAAAAUUGUAACAACUCGGAUGCACAGGUCAAAUAUCAUGAUGCAGAGUAGGCACUAAACCUAAUGUAUCUACUAGAUUUUGUUGUUGCAGAUUAAAUGGUUAUCUUAUCUGUACACAGCUGAUUAGGCAGUAUAGCAGUACCUGCGCGUUUAGUAGUUGUUAGAUAGUUUUUGUGCAUAGUUGAGCUGUGUAUUGAGAUGGGAAGCCAAGUUUUUUAAUUUGUGGAUUCCAUUUGUCAGACUGGCGGCAUUCCUUAAUUUGUGAUCCCUGGUUAUGAUUUGAUUCUUAGUUAUAUUGUCCUAUGGAAAGAGCAUUAGGAUAGGACAAGCAAACAAGCCUUUCGACAUUCAUGGUGUAUAUUUUGUUUCACCGAGCCGUGUUGCUUAUGAUUUUGAAUUCGAAUGGAUCUGCUUCUGUUCACUAAAGAAAUAAAUGCAUGGAUAGACAAGGUAUGCUCUAAGCUGUUUUCCCUUAGUUUAAAGGAAAGAUUAGUAGUACAUGUAACUGUCUUUUCUUUUCUUGGUAUUCAAACAAGAACAAAUCACUGUUGAUGUUUAAACUCUCUAGAAUCUCAUUAAUUUUAUUAUUCCUCUUAAACUUCUGAUACAAAAUUAGAGUUGUAAAUUAUUUAUUCUGGCACAACCAACUGCUUCUUCUUCUGCCUAGCUUGCUUUUGAUGAAGUAUUCCUGGUGACCUGGUCAAUAGACUGCACUUGCCUAUUCCAAGCACAUACAGGCCUAAGGAUGUCCUGUAAGAAAAGCUUUAACGAAAUCACUUUGGUUUGUAAAUGUCCUUGAGGAUUGAAUUAAUAGAAACUAGCAAUUCUUCUGCCUAAACUGAUUCCUGCAAAUUUUCUUGCCGAACUACUACAUGGUAAUACUCCCUCCAUUCCAUAUUCUAAUGCACAUAGUUUUUUGCCUAGAUUCCGAAAUGUAGUGCGCGUAAGCUGCUUUGGACUAAAGUAGCCCUGGACUGUUCACAGGAAUGCAGCAGCAGACACCCACGUGCUGUGACAGAGCGAGCAGCUGGAGGGAAAUUCCUGUCCAAAUGAGAAUGCCAGCUCACGCAUUGGUAUAAACACUACACAUAAAGGCGCAUUAUAAAGUGGAACAGUGGGAGUACUAAAUUCAUAUGUAAUACUAAAUUCCUACUGGUCAUAAAUUAGAUUUUUCGACAAUAAGUACCUAAGUCUAUGUUAUGUUUAAGUUAAAAAACAAUGUCGAUGUGAGCCAUACAUACACCAAUUAAUAAAGCGGUUAGUACUUAAAUCGACCGUCAUGUCCUAUGUGCCUUAGGAGUAAGUUUUCAUCUCCACCAUUGACCCUCUUAAGGUGGCUAUACUGAAGCAGACCCCUUAUAAUUAUGAAUGGUUUAUGAAGUUGAAGGAUGAAACUUGAACGGACACUAUGUUGAGGUUUGUAAAGUGAAGCCUAAGACAAGUUUGAGGGGGUAAUAUGGACUUCUCUCAAACUAUAUUACCAGAGGACAAUGAGGGCCUUGAAGACAAUGACAGCGAUGAGUUUCUCCUGGUUCUGUUUUGUUGUAGGCGAAGUUCUUAAUUAUAAUUAUCAAUGCGUUUGUUUUUCUUAAGGAUGCAGUGACAUGCAAGGCGAGGCAAAUUGAAGCCAAAACAGCAGGACGGUUGGAAGUGUGCCAUUUUUUCUGUAUAGGGCAGGGGGUGGUUCUUCAAUCUUCAGGGAAUCAAGCGGUAGCACCGGAUGCUGACAUGCAUGGAAGGUAGGAGUGAUGGAGUAUAUGUAUUUGUAGCAAUUCAUCAUCGCCCAUAAAUAAAUCAUCUUUGCCCCGCUUCCUCUGUCCGUCCGUCAACUCAAAUUUCUUUGGUUCACAAGUUCGUUUCAUCGUACAUCUAGGUACACUAGAACAGAGAGAGUACUUUCCUUGAAUGGCUCAUGCGAGUAAACUGACAAUAGUGUUCAUCCAAGAUGCAGUUGUAUAUGUAUCUUCAUAGAGAUGUAGAUGCGUAGGUAGUUCAAUAGUGCACAUGUUCAUCGACAGGGAUGUAGAUGUAGUAUACAACCGAGGUUACAUUGACAAGUUAGUCCAUUAUGCUCCCAGGAAAAAUAAAAUAUGGUAUAUUGUUUCACACUAUCAUCAAUAGUGAAGCUUGUAUUUAAUAUUUCUUUGUUUUGCAAUGCUGAAUAUUUGGGGAACACACAGUAAGGUGUAAUAUGUAGAGUAUAGACUACAGAUUCACCGAAUCAGCUUGAACAUUGUUAUAUCAUGCUUCAUAUGAUUUGGUAAUGAUUUUAAAACAUGGAAUGGGGCAAAUAAAGUUGAAACCUGGUACUGUUCGUCACAGAAAAAACAGUUACUAUCGAGAGGUUUCAUACUGACAUUAUUUCUUACCAACUAAUGGUGCAUUUCUCCGGCCAUGAUUACAUCAGCUAACUACUCCAUGAUUACAGCAGUAAACAUUGAUAGGAAUACAAGCAUUGGAGUACUCGCCAUGUUCGAGGAAUUCGUAGCUGAUGGCGGCAUCAUCAUGGAGCAGGCACCAUCUUCUCCUCUAUUUAAACUGUAGUACUUCAUGUACUCCCACUUGUAAACUUUCUGAAAUGCAAAUCCACUCCAAGAAUGUGCUCUGAAA